CAGGGAGACAACAAAAUGUUUAAUAUUAUUAUUUUGUCACCUUAGGUCGAUCGGUAUCUCACGUUUUUAAUUUAUUAAGAAUUUCAUUUCCUAAGUUUUUCUAGGUCACACCCAUUAUUUUUCCUGGGCCAUUAGCUCAGGUGGUUAGAGCGCACCCCUGAUAAGGGUGAGGUCCCUGGUUCAAGUCCAGGAUGGCCCAUAUCUCUAUGUUGGGGGUAUAGCUCAGUUGGUAGAGCGCCUGCUUUGCAAGCAGGAUGUCAGCGGUUCGAGUCCGCUUACCUCCACUGAUUACCACCUCUUCCAUAACCGGUAGAAAGGAAAAGGUUUGAAGUGGGGUUCAAUUUCUGAAAAAACUAANUUCCCAAUGGAUUUCUUAAAAAGGUGGACUUCUUGGAUUAAUUUCCUUGGUUUUCAAAAACCCUGGCCACCGGNUUAAAUAAUUUUAAAGAACAUAAANAUUCUUAANGGAGGCNAAUUAUUAAUUGGGGCAANGNNUUAAUAACCAUUCUNNUAANNUGGUGGUUCCAUUUUUUNAANUAUUG
rnacentral:tRNA from 1 species